rnacentral:rRNA from 1 species
GGAGCUGAAAUCAGUCGAAGAUACCAGCUGGCUGCAACUGUUUAUUAAAAACACAGCACUGUGCAAACACGAAAGUGGACGUAUACGGUGUGACGCCUGCCCGGUGCCGGAAGGUUAAUUGAUGGGGUUAUCCUCGCGGAGAAGCUCUUGAUCGAAGCCCCGGUAAACGGCGGCCGUAACUAUAACGGUCCUAAGGUAGCGAAAUUCCUUGUCGGGUAAGUUCCGACCUGCACGAAUGGCGUAAUGAUGGCCAGGCUGUCUCCACCCGAGACUCAGUGAAAUUGAACUCGCUGUGAAGAUGCAGUGUACCCGCGGCAAGACGGAAAGACCCCGUGAACCUUUACUAUAGCUUGACACUGAACACUGGUCCUUGAUGUGUAGGAUAGGUGGGAGGCUUUGAAGUGUGGACGCCAGUCUGCAUGGAGCCAUCCUUGAAAUACCACCCUUUAAUGGCUGGUGUUCUAACGUGGGCCCGUAAUCCGGGUUGCGGACAGUGUCUGGUGGGUAGUUUGACUGGGGCGGUCUCCUCCUAAAGAGUAACGGAGGAGCACGAAGGUCAGCUAAUCCUGGUCGGACAUCAGGAGGUUAGUGCAAUGGCAUAAGCUGGCUUGACUGCGAGCGUGACGGCGCGAGCAGGUGCGAAAGCAGGUCAUAGUGAUCCGGUGGUUCUGAAUGGAAGGGCCAUCGCUCAACGGAUAAAAGGUACUCCGGGGAUAACAGGCUGAUACCGCCCAAGAGUUCAUAUCGACGGCGGUGUUUGGCACCUCGAUGUCGGCUCAUCACAUCCUGGGGCUGAAGUAGGUCCCAAGGGUAUGGCUGUUCGCCAUUUAAAGUGGUACGCGAGCUGGGUUUAGAACGUCGUGAGACAGUUCGGUCCCUAUCUGCCGUGGGCGCUGGAGAAUUGAGGGGGGCUGCUCCUAGUACGAGAGGACCGGAGUGGACGCAUCACUGGUGUUCGGGUUGUCAUGCCAAUGGCAUUGCCCGGUAGCUAAAUGCGGAAGAGAUAAGUGCUGAAAGCAUCUAAGCACGAAACUUGCCCCGAGAUGAGUUCUCCCUGACUCCUUGAG